UUCUAUAUGGUCUCAUGUGUGCCUAUUAUUAUCUCGCAACUUGAUGUUUGCAAAAAUAUUGGAACAAAUAAUAUGUUUGCAUGCACAAUUUUCUUCAGAUUAGUUCAUUCAAUGAUGGGAUCACGACUCACCUAAAGGGUAAAGUAAUUGAGAAGAAAUAAAUCUGAAAAUUAACAUUAAAGUAACAAAAUUGAAAUUUACUCAUGUAAUAGUAAAUCAGAAAUUUACUAAACCAAAAAGCACAUGGCGUAGUUAACAUGGAGUUUACGAUACUAAUAAUUUUAUUAGUUGGCAUGAAGAAUUUGAUUAUCGCAAAGAUGUGCAUAUUGAGUAAUGGACAUACAUCAAAAAACUAGAAGAUUCUUCAAGAAUUUUUUACGUUGCUUGUUGUCGUGAUAAAGUUGAUUGGAUCAACUAAAGUUGGGACUAAAUCCCUAAAUUCUGAAAAGUAUAAAAGGUGAAUAUGGGCCCAUUCACCUAUCAUGUGAUAUGAUAAACAGAUGCAUCUAUAAGAUAAUCACAUGUGUGUUUGUUGUCAACCUGUAGUUUGACAUUCAUAAAAUUGUUCAUGCAAAAAUAAUUGAGUUAAGAGCACAAUUUCAGAAUAUGUAAUCAAGACAAUUUAUCUUGAUAAUAUUGAUAAAUACUCAAGAUGUUGUGACAUUAAGUGUAUGAGAUAGUGAAAUCAUUGCUUGUGAAAAUAAAGCUCCAUGUGUUGAUCUGAAAUAUGAUCAGAUUUUCUUUCAAUUGAUUUAUGAUCAGGGACCAAAUAUUUUUAUCUGAUUAUUUUGGUAUGUAGUAUAUAAUCAAUGAAUAUACAAUGAUUCACAAAGAUAGAUUCUCCAAAAGAUUGAGAUAUAUGUUAGUUUGUCUAACAUAAGGGGGGAGAUUAGAAUGGACAAAAAAGUUGUAAAUACUCUUAUUGAAUGUCUCUUAAGGAUCGAGUCUAUGACAUGCAUGAAGCGUGAUAGACUAAUCAAUUCUAAAUAAAAUAAUCCUUGAAAAAGAGGAGGAUAAAAGAAUCAAAAUGAUCAUAAUAAGGAGAUAAUGUGCUCUAGGAGAGCCUACGACAUAACACUUUAUAAAACCUCAUGAAGGGGUUGCUCACUAAAAAUAAUGAAGUGAUGAGAUCUCAAUAAGUUAUGUCUAUUGUGAAUCGAUACAAAAUGAUAUAUAGUUGACGAUAUCUCUGAUACCAUAGCGUACAAUAUUGUAAAAGAUUAUGAGGAUAUGAAUUCUACAUCUAUUAAAGCAUGCUUGUGUAGAAAUAAUUAUCAAGUGAAAAGUGAAAUAAUGCAUCUUGGUAAGCUUAAAGCUUAUAUGACUUGCAAUCUAGGCACUAGAAGAUGGCAUACAUAUUAUAUUGAAUGUUGUCACGUGAUAAAAUUGAUAUGAAAAUAUACAAUGGGUUCAAAAUCUAAAGCAUAUACAAGUUUUUGGAAAACUUGUCUAUCAUCCUCAUAAGGAUCAAAUAGAUUCAAAAUGCAUAGAGCAUAUACAAGUAUUAUCAUACAAGUUGAUAACUAUAAUUGAAACUCUUGAAGAGUUUUCAAAGGCAACAGAUUAUUUGCUUAAAGAAGUUAAAGUAAGGAACUUGGAGAAAUCUUUGACCCUGAAAGGAAGAUUCAUAAAGGAGAUAGAAGAAAGCAUAUUUCGUCGAGGUUUUUCUACACUCAUGAGCUCCAAAUAAUGGUGAUAUCAACAUGCAAAAGGUAUGUUCAAGUAAUAUUAUUGUUGAUUUAUUCACCAAGUCUCUAUCAACUACAACUUUCAAGAAGAUGGUGCGCAACCUUGGAAAAUGAAGAUUUAAGUCUCUAAAUUGAUGUUGUUAUUAGCGGGAUUAAUACACGAUGUACUCUUUUUUCCUCACAAGAUUUUGUCCCGCUGGAUUUUUCUUGUAAGGUUUUUAAUGAGGCAUUCAUAAUGCGUAUUAUUAGAUAUGUGUACUCUUUUUCCUUCACUAGAUUUUUUUCCCAUCGAAUUUUAUCUAGUAAGAUUUUAAUGAGACACAUAAUCUACUGACAUUCAAGGGGGGGUGUUAUAAACAUAUUUAUAUUAUAGUGAAUAUCUAACUGUGUGGAGUCCUUGUUGGAUAUAGUUAGGAAUCCUACUUGGAGACCAAGUAAGGUUUCCCCUAUAUAUAAAGGGAUUUUCCUUCAUUAUAAAGAAGAUUUUUGAAGGAAUUAUGAAUCUUGAAUAUACUUCAAGAUGAAUAACAAGUCUUUCUCUUCUUCCUACUUUAUUCUUCUUCAAAAUUUAUAUAAUUUCAUAGCAUAAAGUAAGAUUAUGCAAAUGAUUUCGAUUAAAACAAGUUACAAAAGAAGUAAAUCACUUUUUGGGGGAUCUACUAAGAGUUUGGGCCAGCAUAGGUUUUGGAUCUGCUGCUGCACUUUGGGCUUCGGCCCAUGUCACUACAUAUCUUUGAAUACUAGUGUAUAUACUCUACUUCCUUUGUAUAUUGGACAUAUACAACCAAAUUUGCACAUGUAUCAUAGGUAUGUCGACUGUAUAUCAACUCCAUUUCUUGCAUACUUGAUUCCAUUUCACUCGAACAAGAUGAAGUUGACUCGAUGAAUAUCAGUUGGGUUUCAAUCAAAUUGAAAUUCAAAGAUGACUGGAUGAGUCUCUACUUUGAACUUUACACACACUUUCAAAAAUAUUAAUAUGAAUAUUUCACCAUGAAGUGAAGAAAUCAAGAAAAUAGAGAAGUUGCAGUAGAAACAGUAUUGGUUGAGUGACUAGAAAUUGAAGAAGUGUUACGAGGGUAAAAUGAAAUUCUGGGAUUGGUAUAUGAAAAUUGUAGUUGUUUCGGCCAUAAUUGGAGGUUCCAUGGAGUUUUUCAUGAUUAAGACUGGAUUUUAUGAUAAAGUGACUGUUCUAUAAAAGCGGAAAAGAAAGCCUGGGAGAAUUCUCCUGAAGCCAAGGCUGUUAGAGACGCUCUUAAUCCAUGGAGACAUCAGGAUGCAGAAGUAAGAAAGGAUUCGUAGCUCUGUCACUUCGGUUAGAGAAUUAUAAGGCAACUCAGGGAAUGACUUUGAAGGGAAAUAGACCUAACGUAGUACUUUUUUGGGCUUGCUCCUAUUGAUAUUUCUCUUCGAAUGUUUCUUGAAGAGAGUUUUGCAACUAACAACUGAUUGAUUGUUUCAUCAACUUGGUUGUGGUCACUUCCUUUCUUUUUCAAUAUUAGUACUUUGCUUUCCUAGAUGGCAUGGUUAAGAGAAACAAUCAGUUGCACCUUUGAGAAAAAUAGUGGAGUAGGUAGCCAUUUGAGAAAAAAAAACUAUUAUCACAGAUAGAGGAAAUGUUGGCAUCAUAGCCUCUAUGGUUACUACAAGUACAUGCGCAGAGAGGAAUCAAUUACUACAGAGAGUUUUUUUUGAAAUCUCAACUGUGCACUCAACAUUAGUCUAUACUAACACUAAAUCUUACAGAAAUAGCAGCAAAGGAGCAAUAUGUUUCAAGCAAGAAUCCUAGUAGAAAAAACAUGCGUCUAUCUGUAAAGGAUUCUCAAGCCAAGGAUUUCAUUGAUAAAAUAAAGACUCAAUCCGUUAUAUGCCUAAACGAGGGACUCAAAGACUGAUUAAAGCACUCAAUCGAAGUAAGAAAGAUCAGUAUAUGCGAUGAAGAUCCACAAACGAGUAAACCAAUAUACAUAGCGAUUCAUGAGAUACUUAGACAAACAGUGAACUAAGACUGGAAAUCAAAGCAAAGAAACAACAAGACAUUGAGCAUCUGGAAUGAAAAUUCAAAAGAUGACCUUAUAAAUUAUGAUUCAUACUGUAUUAAGCAACAUAUAGAGAGCAAUAUUUCUUAAACUGCUAUUGAAAAUAAAUAACAGUUAUUUAACUUACUUAAAUAGAUAUACCGCUAUUUAACUAAACAGAGAAUUAACUGGAAAAAGAUGAAUCAUAAAAGGAGAAAAGGGUUACGUUUACCGGGCAGCAAUUGGGAUGAGAUGAAGUUUCAACCACUGAAAUGAUGGUUGGACUCCCACGGACAAAGAAGCUUGAUACAGCCGAGGAGGAAACCGCUUCCAUUAGCUAUAUGAAAACCCCCUCUAUUUUAGAUCAUUAAGAUUUUUUUGUGUUUUUCGAUGGUCAAAUCCGUGAAGGAAGGGGGUUAUGCAGGGAAAAAAUGGGUUGAUUUUGUGUGGGGAAACCUACAGAAAUUUACAAAAGGGAGGUGUUAAAAUGUCUGUCAAUCUAUAAAACACAUAGCAGUCAUAUGCACUAAAACUAAACCUAUACUAACACUAAAACUUUAAGUAAUGGAAGCGAAGGAGUAACAUGUUUGAAGCAAAAAUCAUAGUAGCAAGAACAUACUUUUAACUAUAAGCAUUCUGAAAUCAAAAAUUUCAUUGAUAAACAAAAUAUUCAAUCCAUUAUUUGCUCAAACAAGGAACUCAGAGAAAGACAGAUCAGCCUAUGCAAUGAGGAUGGACAAACGAGUAAAGCAAAAUACAUAACAGAUUCAUGAUAUAUUUCGACAAACAGUGAGCUAAUACUGCAAAUCAAACCACUUAUUAAAAUAAUAAGCGAAUAAACAACAAAGACAUUAAGCAUAUGGAAAGAAAAUUCAAAAGAUGAUCCUAAUUCAUACCACAUUAAAUAAUAUAAUAUGCAGAGACAGUAAUAUUUCUUAAACUCACUACUAAAAAUAAAUAACUAUUUGCCAAACUUAAACAAGAAACAGAAAAUUAAUUCAAAAAAAAUGAAGCAAGAAAGGAGAAAAUGAUUACCUUUUCAGGACAAUAACGAAGAUCUCACCACUGAAACCAUUGCUGGAACUACGACGAACAAAGAAGCUUGAUGCAGCAAAAGAAGAGAACUUUUUUCGUAUAAAAAAAUCCUUAAAUCUGAGAUGCUAUCUGAAAACCCUCCCUCUGUUUUAGAUGAUAAAGAAUUUAUGUGUUCAAAAAGGAGGAGGGGGUGGGUUGUAGGGAGAAAAUUGGUGGCUUUUGGAGAAAAAAAACAACGGCCGGAAAUUUUUGAAAGAGAUAAAUUCAAAUUUUGGAAAUUCUUUGGAGGAUAAGAAAUUUGAGACUAAAGCUGAAAGAAGGACGUCGGGAUUCCUUUCUUGAAGGUGUGAUCAUUUAAG
rnacentral:lncRNA from 1 species